rnacentral:rRNA from 1 species
GAUGAACGCUGGCGGCGUGCCUAAUACAUGCAAGUCGAGCGAACAGAUAAGGAGCUUGCUCCUUUGACGUUAGCGGCGGACGGGUGAGUAACACGUGGGCAACCUGCCUAUAAGACUGGGAUAACUUCGGGAAACCGGAGCUAAUACCGGAUAAUCCCUUUCCUCUCAUGAGGAAAGGCUGAUAGAUGGUUUACGCUAUCACUUAUAGAUGGGCCCGCGGCGCAUUAGCUAGUUGGUGAGGUAACGGCCCACCAAGACAACGAUGCGUAGCCGACCUGAGAGGGUGAUCGGCCACACUGGGACUGAGACACGGCCCAGACUCCUACGGGAGGCAGCAGUAGGGAAUCUUCCGCAAUGGACGAAAGUCUGACGGAGCAACGCCGCGUGAGUGAUGAAGGUUUUCGGAUCGUAAAACUCUGUUGUUAGGGAAGAACAAGUACGAGAGUAACUGCUCGUACCUUGACGGUACCUAACCAGAAAGCCACGGCUAACUACGUGCCAGCAGCCGCCGUAA